AACUGAAUUUACUUAUUACACAUACAGUUCUUGCCAGUGACCAAUCGUGAACUGAAGAAACAGUUGGAGCUAGCUUUUUCACUCGGAAUGCCUUCUGUCGUCAAUCUUGCAUUUCCUUGGAACGUGUGGGAACACACUAUUUUGGUGAUAGGGAGGGAAGGCCUAGGUCUCAAAGAAGAAAUGUGAAAACACGCUUUAAAUCUUGAUUGCAAAAGUUGCAAUGUUUUGUUGAAAAAAAUAACAAUUGCUCAGGUUUAGUGUUCAGUUCUUGGGAAGGGAAGGCGCGUGACUUUAACGAUGAAUUUCUGUAAGAUAGUCUGUUUAACAAAGCUCAAUUUUAAUGGGAAAAAAACCCUUUUAGUUA